GUGUCAGCAGCCGCGUAAUACGUAGGGUGCAAGCGUUGUCCGGAAUUAUUGGGCGUAAAGGGUACGCAGGCGGAUAAUCAAGUCAAGCGUGAAAGGUGUCGGCUUAACCGACAGACUGCGUUUGAAACUGAUUAUCUUGAGUGUAACAGAGGAGAGUGGAAUUCCUAGUGUAGUGGUGAAAUACGUAGAUAUUAGGAAGAACACCAGUGGCGAAGGCGACUCUCUGGGUUAACACUGACGCUGAGGUACGAAAGCUGGGGGAGCGAACGGGAUUAGAAACCCCAGUAGUCC
rnacentral:rRNA from 1 species